CCUAGGUCACCUCUCCUGGGAAGACGUCCCUGACCUUCCAACUUGCCACUUCCUGCCUCCUUUGGCUUCUUCUUUUUAAUAUUCAUUCAUUUGGCUGCUCUGGGGUUUAGCUCCAGCACACAGGAUCUUACGUUGCUGCACACAGAACUCAGUUGUGUCAUGUGGGAUCUAGUUCCCCAACCAGGGGUCGAACCUAGGCCCACCCGCAUUGGGAAGGCGGAGUCUUAGCCGCUGGACCACCAGGGAAGUCCCACUUCUGUUGCUUCUUACCACCGGUAAGUUUAAGCCUCUGCGCUUUCAACUCUGGGAGCCUUGAUUGUACUGUUUGUUAUAGUCUGUUGAUGUAUCCAUCUCUCCACCAGAAUGAACAGCCCGAUGAUGACUCUGAGCACCCAAAGGUGCCCACCCGCGUGUCCUCAGGGCCUAGCAAGGGUUUCGGAAAUAUCUGCGGAGAGACUAAGGAAGUGUGGGUGCUGCAGCUUCUGAGGACUGAGUGCAACGGGAAAGCAUUUUCUAAGCCAUUGUCAUCCCAUUUGAUCCCCUGAAGGACACCUCGGCCUCAACAGGCACUCUCUGGAUGCAGGGAUAUGAAGGUGACGAAACCCAGCAGAGGAUGUAGCAGACAGCCUUGGAAACCAGAAAUCAUAACCCAAGGUUGGGAGUCCCUCCCCAUCUAGGCUGCUGGAUUAUGCAUUUGUAUGUUUGGUUGAGCAAGUCAAGAAGAAAAUUCUCCAGGGACAAUAUCUGGAUCACGAGGGCAUUUUCCUCUACUCCAGUACUGGGGAUAGCAAAGUAUUUGUUCCAAACUGCUGUUAUGUUCUAGGCAUUGUGUUCUGCAUUCAACAGGUAUUGUCUGAUUUAUUCCUCAGCGUGACUGUAUAGGGACUUUAUUGUGUCCAUUUUAUAGAAGACAAAGUAAAGGCUCAGAGAACCUGAAUAAUUCAUGCACAAGUCAUAUCAGAGGCGGAGCUGUGACUCUGUCACAGAAAGCAGGCAUGAUUAACUUGGUCAGUGUCACUUAUGGAGAUGUGAGCAAGGUGAAUGAACAUUCCUUAGACAUGAUGAUUUUCGCCUUUUUAAAAACAUUCCUGGUGGAGCAGUAGAUAAAAAUCUGCUGGCCAAUGCAAGGAACAUGGGUUCAAUCCCUGGUCCUGUAAGAUUCUACAUGCUACAGGACAACUAAGCCCACGUGCCACGACUACUGAGCUUGCUCCCUAGAGCCCGGGGACCAACCGCUGAGUCCACACCACAGCUCCUGAAGCCUGCGUGCUCUAGGGCCCGAGAGCCACAGUCUCAUGCCCUGUGCUGCAGCUACUGAAAUCUGCGCGCCUAGAGACCACGCUCUGCAACUAGAGGACCCAUCACAACGAGAAGCCUGUGCACUCAACUAGCGAGCAGUUCCCACUCUCCACAGCCAGAGCAAGGCUGCACGCAGCAGCAAAGACCCCGAGCAGCCAAAAAUAAAUAAAUAAAAAUAAACA
rnacentral:tRNA from 2 species